GCGGGUCACGUGACGCCACGUGCGUCUGCCAGCGGGCGGCGGGAGCGUGCGCGGCUGCACCCAUGGGUGGCAGUUGGGGUGAGGCUGCUCCUUGGGGUCGUGGCCAUCCAGUGCCAUCAAGGGUCCCAGGCGGUGUCUGCCAUCUAUUGAGGCCAGGUGGACGGCCCUCGACUGCUCCGCAGCAGAUGAUCUGUAAGAUGGCCUGGUCAAGGCUUCUAGCAGACUCGGAUCUCUCUCUUCAGUCCAAGUGCAAAUGCUGAACACACCAGUCUCCUGGGGCUGCCGUCGGGACACUGUCGCUUCCAUGUAACUGAUGGGCUACCUUGUCACGUGCCAUUGCUGGGGGGGUAUGUCAGACCCUUCACAGUUCCUGAAAGCACAGCCUCCCAACCCCCAACAGACUCUGCCCUGUGUUCCUGCUCCAGCUUCAGCAGCAGAAAUCCCAGGAUGUGAGAGCUAGAAGACACCUGAGAGAUGAUCCCUUCCAAGGACGACAGGUUCUUCUGGGGACUCUGCAGUGGUAAGUGUGCAGGGUCUGGCCUAGCAAAUCAUUUCACUUCCAUUUUAUAUGUUAAUUUUCCAUAAGUCCCCUUGUCAAGAGGUUCAAAACCAUACAUUUAUCCUUACCUUCCCGUAUUGUAAGUCGGGUGAUUGAGUGUCAGAUGAAUUGUCUUUAAGCUCCCGAGACUGUUUUGUGGACAGAUAGUUGUCUACUAUCUAGACUCGUGGAGGUCUGAUUCUUUGGCAUGGCAUUUUGAUUGCCUUUGUGGUUUUGGAUUCAACCUGCAUCCUUUUCCCCAAGAAUCUCCUAGGUCAGUGGUGUGUCAGCCUGGAAAGGGUGGGCUGCUACUAAGUCUCUGUCACAGAGGCCUCUUGGCACAUGGUGGAGUCAGGAGUGGGAACUCAGGUUCAUUUCUGUUUAUUGCCACUCAGUAGCAGUGGGCAAUUACAACAAUCCCUGGCUAUAUCCUCACGUCACUUUAUUUUAACAGCAGGCCUCCAAGUUGUUUCCUUGUUUUGUUUUUUUUUGUUUUUUUGCGGUACGCGGGCCUCUCACUGCUGUGGUCUCUUCCGUUGCGGAGCACAGGCUCUGGACGCGCAGGCUCAGCGGCCAUGGCUCACGGGCCCAGCCGCUCCGCGGCACGUGGGAUCCUCCCAAACCGGGGCACGAACCCGUGUCCCCUGCAUCGGCAGGCGGACUCUCAACCACUGCGCCAUCAGGGUAACCCCUGUUUCCUUGUUUUUUAUAGAAGAGGAAGUGGGAACUGAGGUGGUGGCCUGCCCACACUGACAUACCUGGUGAAGGUGCAGCAGAAUUUGAACCCAGGCCUUUGCACCACAGUUCUCUGAGCAGGUUCAAAUCCUCACUUGCUCCCCUUCCAGGAGUCAGGAGUUUCUGGUUCUUGGCCCAGCUGAGGUGUGGGUGGCUCAGGGCCAGGUGUGCAUGUCUGACUGACCUUCUCUGACCCCAGGUUUCGGUGCCGUGUUGUCUGCUUCCAGAACAAGGAUCUUCACUGUACAUCAGGACCCAGGCCCCUCUGACAUCUCCUGAAUGAGAAACAAGGGAUUUAAUAAAACGGUGUAAAAUUUGUA